GACGGAGGAUGCAAGUGUUAUCCGGAAUCACUGGGCGUAAAGCGUCUGUAGGUGGUUUCAAAAGUCCACUGUUAAAGAUUGAAGCUUAACUUCAAAAAUGCCGUGGAAACUUUGAAACUUGAGUAUGAUAGGGGUAGAGGGAAUUUCCAGUGGAGCGGUGAAAUGCGUAGAUAUUGGAAAGACCACCAAUGGCGAAGGCACUCUACUGGGCCAUUACUGACACUGAGAGACGAAAGCUAGGGGGAGCAAAUGGG
rnacentral:rRNA from 1 species